UGUUGCACUAUCCAGAGAGUUAUACUCAGUAAACGUAAUACAACUUUUUUUCUGCCACAUGGCAUCGUUUUGUCAUUGAUUACAUGCCACUUUGCAACACAGUAAUACAACAGAGACC